rnacentral:rRNA from 1 species
ACCUGUGACUGUAGAACCUCUUACUUUAUAUAUAAGAAGAAGCCAGUCUUUUCUGGUUUUUUUUUUGUGUAAAGUUUGAGUAUGUUUAACUUAACCUUUUGACUAAACUUGUUGACUACUAUUAUGUAUUUAAAUAAAUACAACUUUCAGCAACGGAUCUCUAGGCUCUUGCAUCGAUGAAGAACGCAGCGAAAUGCGAUAACUAAUGUGAAUUGCAGAACUACGUGAAUCAUCGAGUCUUUGAACGCAUAUUGCACUCUGUGGUAUUCCGCAAAGUAUGCCUGUUUGAGUGUCAGUAACUAAUCUCAAACCCACCAGGGUUUGGAGUUGAGUUUCCAACAUUUUUUUUUCUAAAGUUGGUUACUUUAAAAGAAGUGGUGAGCAGUUUUGCAAUUUUCAGUUAAGUUGCUCUGACUUGAUAAAACUCUUAGUAGUUUUUUCAGUUAACGACUUAAUCUGGGAGUAAAACUUGUCUCUUUUCCCUCAACCGCGUCUUUUGUUACGCAAUACCUGAGUUUCUCGGAACUCUUGUAACUUGACCUCAAAUCAGGUAGGGAUACCCGCUGAACUUAAGCAU